AGGUUUCUGCUAAGUCGCAAGACGAUGUAUAGGAGCUGACGCCUGCCCGGUGCUGGAAGGUUAAGGGGAUCUGUUAGAGCAAUCGAAGCAGUGAACUUAAGCCCCAGUAAACGGCGGCCGUAACUAUAACGGUCCUAAGGUAGCGAAAUUCCUUGUCGGGUAAGUUCCGACCCGCACGAAAGGCGUAACGAUUUGGGCACUGUCUCAACAAUAGACUCGGUGAAAUUGUAAUCCCGGUGAAGAUGCCGGUUACCUGCGACAGGACGGAAAGACCCCAUGGAGCUUUACUGUAGCUUGACGUUGGGUCUUGGUACUACAUGUACAGGAUAGGUGGGAGACUAUGAAGCAUGGACGCCAGUCUGUGUGGAGUCAUCCUUGGGAUACCACCCUUGUAGUACUGGGAUCCUAACCAUAGGCCUUGAAUCAGGUCUUGGAACACCGUCAGGUGGGCAGUUUGACUGGGGCGGUCGCCUCCUAAAAAGUAACGGAGGCGCUCAAAGGUUUCCUCAGCACGGUCGGAAAUCGUGCGAAGAGUGUAAAGGCAAAAGGAAGCUUGAUUGCAAGACAUACAGGUCGAGCAAGGACGAAAGUCGGACUUAGUGAUCCGGUGGUACCGCAUGGAAGGGCCAUCGCUCAACGGAUAAAAGCUACCCUGGGGAUAACAGGCUUAUCUCCCCCAAGAGUCCACAUCGACGGGGAGGUUUGGCACCUCGAUGUCGGCUCAUCACAUCCUGGGGCUGUAGUAGGUCCCAAGGGUUGGGCUGUUCGCCCAUUAAAGUGGUACGCGAGCUGGGUUCAGAACGUCGUGAGACAGUUCGGUCCCUAUCCGUCGCAGGCGUAGGAAAUUUGAGAAGACCUGUCCUUAGUACGAGAGGACCGGGAUGGACGUACCUCUGGUGUACCAGUUGUUCUGCCAAGGGCAUGGCUGGGUAGCUAUGUACGGAAUGGAUAAGCGCUGAAAGCAUCUAAGCGCGAAGCCAACUUCAAGAUAAGAUUUCCCACCGUAAGGGUAAGACCCCAGGAAGACUACCUGGUUGAUAGGUCGAAGGUGUAAGUGCAGUAAUGUAUUUAGCUUAUCGAUACUAAUAGGUCGAGGACUUGACCAA
rnacentral:rRNA from 1 species